rnacentral:lncRNA from 1 species
AUGCAGUUUCAAGGUGUAGUUGCUUCAAACAUAAUGCUUUGACGAUGUUCUCCCUCAGUUGUUAAGGACUGUCAGUAAUGAGUGGAAGUAAAUCUACCUACUAAGACACUGAAUUUAGUAAGAACGUUGUGGGAAUUAUUCAGAUCGCAAUAAUUGGCUAGAUUUCAGCUAGAGGAUUGUUUCUUCUAAGGGUUGAUCUCCAUGUUCUAAUUGGUCAAGUUUUGGAUCAUUUUUGAAGGUAAUGUCUACAUGAUUUGAGCAGACUUGCACAUCUUUUCUGUGCCUUAUCAUCGCCACGGCCGUACGAUUGAUGUGUUAUUCAUCUUCGUGACUGUUUACUAUGGAUUGGCGUGUGCACCCAUCUCUACUUCAAUAGUAUGGAAUUUCGAGGACGAAAUUUUUAUAAGGUGGGGAGAUUGUGACGUCCCGAACCCGAAUUC